rnacentral:tRNA from 1 species
GUGGGUAUAGCUCAGUUGGUAGAGUGCAUGCUUAGCAUGCACGAAGUCCUGGGCUCAAUUCCCAGUACCUCCA